rnacentral:lncRNA from 1 species
UUCUGGUCUAAGAUUUCCGAAUCUGACCUUCCCCACAUAAUUCCUUGGUCUCCCCGCCACUUGAGAGUCUGCUGUCGUCUCACUUAGUGUGGAAUUGUAUUUCCCUUUGUCCUUCUCUGUCAGGGGCCACCGGAAAGCUUGCAGAGCCAUCCUGAUCGCGUCAUAACACGCCAAGACCUCACCGUUGCUCCUCAAUGACUCCUUCCCGCAUUUGUCUCCAUGCCUAACGCUGAAUUUUGCCGUGCCCAUUAAAACUCAGUUUUUCUUCCCUCACUAAAUCCCUCAACUCAUUCAAGGUGUACUGACCGAGCAGAGGACCUGUUUCUGAAUUUAUAGAGAAGACCAUGACAUCUUGCAAGCCCCUUCCUCCCCACCUGAAGAUGUGGCUGGCUUCUCCUGCAGGCGUCCUGUCACCGAGCUCCACUUUCCAAGGCUCCUGGGCCAAUCCCCAGGCUUCUCACAGGCAAUUUGUUCCACUAAAUGCUCGUUGCUCCCUUUAUCACUGUCUUUGUUUCUCUCGCUCGUCUGACUGACUCAAACGUUCCCAGCUUUCUCAAGAACCAGUGAUUACUACCUGGCUAAGGGGUCUGAACUCUUACUGGGAUAAUGAGAGGACGAGAGACAGCCUCAGCUGCGUGCAGAACGGAUGACACACCUUAGUCCCAAGUGUUAAUUUUUAAAAAUAAAAUAAGUUCCUCGUCAUACGUAUUUCCUAUCUCACUGACCAAAAUAAGAUAUAGAGAGAGUAUUGUUCACCCCUUGAAAGGCAAGUUUUAUACAAAAAGAUGGAGCUAUGUCGUAUCCAGAGAUAUUCUCAUGACCUAUGUUAGAACUACUGCACUCUUUUAAGUUCUUAUCUUUGAAAAAAGCCUGGUAGGACUUUUCACUGUCCAUAAGAUAUUUGAAUAUUUUAAAUAUUAGUUUCCUGAUACACCUCCCCCUGACUUUUUUUAUUAAUACACCAUUAAAACCAGGAGUUCCCCUUAUGUCUCACAAACCCAGUUAGCAUCCAUGAAGAUGCGGGUUCGAUCCCUGGCCUAGCUCAGUAGGUCGAGGAUCCAGUGUUGCCGUGAGCUGAAGAGCAGGUCGAAGACAAGGCUCAGAUCCUGUGUGGCUGUGCCUGUUGGGUUCAUGGCCCCUAGAAAUGGAUUCAGUACUCCAAAUGUGGUCAGAACCACAGAAUGGGCUUUAUCAGGACACUACCAGGGGUGAAAUACUCCCCUUAACUGGAAAUACACCUGUCUGAAGCCAUGAGUCCUAACUUCACUGUUGUUCUGUUGCUCAAACCAAACUAUUUAACGUACUGCUUCAAAUUUACUUUGUAAGAGGAUAACUCUCUCCCUCUCCCCAUAUACAUCAUAAACAUUUUUUUUUCAAAAUCAGAUUUAUUGCAACCAGUAAAAUGUAUUUUUUCACUUCUAUAAUAGCCUUUAUUUUAUUACAUAUCAUCCUAUCACUUUCUAUAUAGUUAUUUCACAGUUUUUAAAUUAUUCUGGUUCUGUAUGUCAAUUUUCUAAAUGUUAGAAAUAUCACAUUAAAGAGGAAAAUGUUCACACAUCCAGUGAAGGAUGUUCGAGCUUUAAAUUGAGAGCUAUAUUUUAGUGUUCUUAUGUCUACACAGGGAUAAUAAUCAUACUGCCAUGGUUUAAUAAAACCUGUGAAAUCCACCAAGGACAGGAACUGAAAAAUAACUGGUAUGCCAUAAGUGGUAAUUAUCAGUUCCCAAACCGAGAAUUAGGAAUCAAGUGGCAUCUUGUUCCUUUUACUGUAUAACGGAGAGAAGAGACAAUGUCACAUUAAUAAUAUGAUUACCAUCAGCUAAAAUUGAAAAAAUAUAGUCUGUAAUUCUCUCCUAAGGCACAAUGACAUUCUCCUAAUUCAUGCAAAUGACUGUUAGAUCAAACAGAUUUUACACUCCACCUUAAAAUGUGGUUUAAACAAUUCGAACGCAUAAUGAAAAAGGCCACUAUGAGUCCCAAGACACUCGGACAUUUGCCUUUCAGAUUUAAAUGUUUAAAGCUCCAGAUCCACAGCCACUCUAUUUACAAGAGACCACUGUCCAUGUGGGUUUGAAUUUUCCAUCAUCUGACGUUAUUCCAAUUUAUUAUUACUAUAAUUUUCUGGCAUCUGAAAGGUUGAGUAGAAUAGUUGAGGUUAAAAUAAAAUCUGUUUACUUCUCACAAACUUAUUUUCAUACCAUUUUUAAAUUUGCUGCUAAAGGAAUAAUUAUGCUUUGGGGAAAUUUGGUUAAAAUCAGUCAUAUACAAUGUCACUACUCGUUAGAAAUCCUCAAUUUAAUCAGUUUUUCCAAUAAAAAUUGUCAUAUUUUGAUCCGACAUGACCUUCUUGGUCAACAUUUAGUUAGUCAAUGAAUGUUGAUCUUGCUCUUGGUAAAUGUAGUGCCAUGCUAAACGUUGGAUUUACAAAGAGGUAGCAAAACGUAUAAAGGCUUAUUCGCUGCAUUAAAAAAAAGACACUACCCAAGUAAAGAUAGGGGCAAUUCAAAGAAAAGGAUAUAGAUCAUAGAUACACGCAAUGCUGUUAUUUUAGGAAACUAUAUUUAAAAACAAUAUUUAUAUGCUAUUUAGGAUACGCCAAGCACUAUUUUAGAUUACUUCCUGCAGUCAUCAUAGCAACCCUAUGAGAUAGGUACUUUUAUCCAGAUCCAACUAAUGAGGAAACAAAAGCACAGGCCUUCUCGUGCCUCCAAUCACACAGCUAGUUGGUACUAGAGCCAGGAUGUAAACCUAAAUCUAGUUCCAGAACCCACACUUUUAACUGCUCUACUACUCUGCUCCUCAUUACAUUUUUUUCCACAAGUAGCAGACUGAGGUGUGGCUCACAUCUAGAAAACGCCUACAUCGUAGGUACGGAGCUCGAUAAGCUUGGGAACAUGUAUGUGCCUGUGUAACCACCACCCAAAUCAGGAUACCUAUGUGUGUGCCUAUGUGCUAGUGUGUAUGUGCCACUGUGUACUUGUGGGUAUUGCUCCCAUUAAUUAUAUUUUGGUUAAUUCAUUUAGAAAAGCUUGUAAACUUUGGGGGGAAAAGGAGGUGUCAUUAGGAAGUAAUGACAACUAAUAUUUACUGAGUGCUCACUAACUGGUCAAUGCCAAAGCGUGGUAAUUUAUGUCUACUGCCUUCUAUAAGCCUCUUAAUUGCCCCCAGAGGAAGAUACUGCUAUGUCUCCAUUUCACAGAGCAACUGAAGUGCAGAGAGGCUUCGGAGGACGCAGUAAGGCUUGGCAUUUUCAUUCUCCUAACUGAUCAGUUAAAAAGGUAAAAGGUAAAAAGAGAUGAUGAGAGAGAUGGCUGUUAGGAGAGGUUUUAAAAGGCCAAGGAAAAUUCCACAGUUCACACUUAAAUUUGAUUUGCCAUCAGGAUCUAAUUGGACAUGGACUAGACUGCACAUCUUGAAAGAUGCACUUGAGAACAAACAUAAACAGCUAAAGCUAAAGUAAACACCCAGGAACCCAGGGAGGAAGAAUAAGCUGGAGACAGGAACUUUUCUAAAGGAUGCCAAAAUUUAGAAGGAUGAGGUGCAACGUCAAGGAAAGAAAAGAGAGAAGAGCAAGCUAGGGAAAAAGAGAGCUAUAGAAACACAGGAGAGCAUGUUUGAAAGUUUCUGAAAUAUGGUCAGAUUCAGUCACCAAAUCAAUGUGAAGUACUAGAAACACGUGUAUUUCUAGAAAAAAAUGUGGCUAUUGAAUUCCUACAUGACAGAGGGUAUACUAGCAGUGGAAGAACCCCAUGCAUGGCUGUGAGUCCUUCACAGAAAUUACAUACAUAAAGUUAUCCUUAAAUCUGUGGCACAUUUGGGAUUAGCAUACGCAACUGAGGUAUAUAGAGUGACUGGCUGUCAGGGACCCACUGUGUAGCACAAAGAACUCUACCCUGUAGUCUGUGAUAAUCUAUGUGGAAAGAGACUCGGAAAGAGAGUGGGUAUGUGUGCCUGCCCAACUGAAUCACUUCGUUAUGUGGCAGAAUGAUCACGACCUUAUAAAUCAACCGUACUUCAGUAAAACUUAAAAAAAAAAAUUAAAAACAUGUCUGGAAAAACUUUGUGACCGUUGCUAAUACUGUAUAUUUGUUCCUGUCAUCUGCAGAUAACAUUAUCAGGUCUGGCCUCUUUCCUUUGACUAUAGCUUCCCCUAAAUGGAAUGCUCAUUCUUCUGUUUUCACUUUCCUUGAGCGGUUCUUAAUCCUGGGUGCACCUCAGAAGCUCCUGGAGAACUUUUGAAACAGUAGCAAUGCCCACAUCCCUCUCAGGAGAAGAAGGCAUACAAAAGCAGGCCCUGGGAGCUUUUUCAAAGCACGUGUGCUUCCUUCUCCAUUAAGAGGCAGGGCAGCAUAACGAACGCCGAGUCUGCGAAUGCCCCCAGUGCAUUCUGCUACUCCUCCCUUCUCUAUAGCACCCUUCUGUGCCUUCCUCGGGUGAGCUCCCUCUCUCCGAAGGCUUUAAAAACCAUCAGUACGCAAAUGAUUCCUAAAUCUCCAUCACCAUUCUAGAUCUCUCUCUGUUCAAAGUCCAGGCAGGAUAUGACCAGGACAUAUUUCUCCUUGUAUGUCCAAAGAAACCUCAAUGUCAAGACAUCUUUAAAAGACAAAGUUUCCUGUGCCUCCCUCAUCUGAGCGAAUGGCGUCGCUACACAGAGAAUCAUACCAUUCUUCUCUUUCCCCCUAAUCUUUACUUCUUCACCCUCUUCCAGAGUUAAAAGGAAACCAAAGGAAAUUUUAGGGAAAAAAAUAAAAGCAGCAUAAUUUCAGGCUCAAAUCACUUCGUACCUCAAUGUUAUUGUACUACUUUAGAAUUGGCCUCAUUAAAUAGUCUUGUUCUUCUGAAAUCUAUCAUUUACGGGGCUGCCUAAGAGACCUGCCUGACCUUUUCACUCCUUUACCUAAAUGCACGCGAUGGCUUCAACCACUGGGGGCAAAAAUCAGAAUUCUCAUGGUAACUAGCAAUGCUUCCUGAGAGCCAAGAGAACACAUAAUAAAACUUUAAUGGAGUUUCUUUAUAGCAGGAAGUCAUGGGUGGCCCCCAGUGAACCACAGUUUCUAGUAUUCAUGCCUCUGUUGUCACCCUCUCCCUGUGAGUCCCUCUCUGAGGAGCAGACGGGAAGGGCAGACACUGACAGAGGGCGGACACUGAAAAGAUGCAGACGUGCCCACUAAACCUGUGAGUGAUGGUGAUGGAAGAUGCCCUGCUGCGACUCUGGUAACUCGUUUUCAGGGUUUUAUUUCCGGUGUAAGCUGGAGUAAUGGUGUAUAUGUGCCCACAUGCUGCACAUGGCACUUCACUUCAGGAGACGCUGUGUGUGGAGCUGUGACAGCAGAGUCAAAGCACAGGCAUUUCAUGCAGCACUACCUUAAAAGCCCAUAUGAGGAAGCAGUUUGUCUUUCCAACGUUAAAAAUACAUAUAUUUCAGAUUAUAAUGACAAAGUCAUAUCUAACAGGGCAGAAAAUUUAAACAGACACUGUAAAAUCUAAAGAAGAGAAAUAAUCACCCUAAAUCCUUAAUCAAGUUAGGAAAAAGGACUCCUUCCGGGGACCUUCUGUUUUCAGGAGGGUUUAACGCGUUUUCCCUCUUAUCUACAUCAGUCAAGUUCAGCUAACCAUUGCCGGGCUCCUACUAUGAACAGUGACCUGCACUUUCCGCUACUUUAAUCCAUUCAUCACUAAUAUUUUUGUACAUACUCACUUGUACUGAAAUUCACAUCUUAAGAAUAAUUAAACGAAGUGUUUAUACUCAAAGGAAAGUAUCACUUUCUAGCACUCUAUUACUAACAUUAGAACAAUGUUCAGGGAACCGAUUUUCAACAUGUAACUUAUAAGGCAUUAAAAGGCCCUACCAAAAUUUACAAAAUUUCUCAUUUUUUCUUUCAAAAUAUCUUUGUCCUGUUGUGUCUACAUCUUUGCAAUUAUGGAAAUAAUAUCAUGUUCUUUAUGCCUGUGCAGAAAAAGCUUAUAGCAUCACUCAAGUGCGUGUAAACGGUAUAGCCACUGAUAUUUGCAAAUCCAUUUACAUAUUAUUAGCUUUUUCAGAGAGAAAGUUGAUUCGGCUUCACUUUGUCCUUGGUAGAAUGAGUUAUAUCUGCUUGUUCAUGUAAAACUUCCAAGGCUCUCAAGGAAAAAAAAAAAAAAAACAAAAAAAAACAGAUUUUUUAAAGGCAAAUGAAGGAAGUAACCUUAUCACUGCUUUCCGUAAUAAUUCCGUUGUUUUUGCUUCCUAAUGUUUCCUCUUACUUAAAAGGAACCAGUCAAGGCUGACACAUUAGGAGGUCUUGCCCAAUAGAGAAUAUUUUUAAUAGUGACUUGCUAGAGGCAUGGCUUUGGGUUGUACGGUGUCCCUGGAACUGGCUGUUUAAAAUCCCAGAUAGGCUGACUCAUCCCUUCCACUUUUGGAGGUUAAAAAGAAAAGAAAAAAAAGAAAAGAAAGCACAUCUUACAAUUUACUGCAUGAGGAUCUCUGAGGCCAGGUUGUAGACCAUCUGCUCAGACUGCAAAAUUAUAUCCAAAUACGCAAAUCAAAACCCUCAAACUUAGUUGCUGUGACUAUGACUUCUAGAAAGGUCAUCAGCCAGUGCUUCAUAACACGGUCUCACUCUAUGCCAAGUAUUUCUCAUAUAGAGCUCAGCAAGAUUUUCCUUAAAAAUUACCAUGUGGCUAGCACACAUGUGGAAUCUGAGGAAUGAGAAGGACAGACAGACAUGGACUGUGCCUUCAAGAUAAAAAAGCAUUGUGAUAUUGAUUUAAAAGAAAUAUAUAUAUGGUCAUUUGGAUGAUCAAAAUAUACUGCCUUUGGAAUGGAUGAGCAAUGAGAUUCUGUGUGUAGCACUGGGAACUAUGUCCAGUCAUUUAUGAUGGAGCAUGACAAUGGGAGAAAAAAGAAUGUAUACAUGUAUGUGUAACUGGGUCACCAUGCUGUGCAGUAGGAAAAAAAAUAGCGUAUUGGGGAAAUAAAUAAAUAAAUAAAAAUCUUCUGUGUUUCUCACGUCCAUUGGAUCUUUGUCCGCAGUUCCCAGCUCAUAGCUCCCAAAACUGCUGGAACUGCCUACGUGUGGAGAGUGAUAUGCUGAUGAGGCGACUUUCGGAAAGCACCUAAGCAUGAGGCUGGUGGCCAAAGAGUCAGCCCCACAGUAGGAGCGUUGGAACCUUCCAUCCCACUCCUUGAUCUCUGGAGAGAGGAGAGGCACUGGGGGCUGAAUCGACUGCCAACUGUCAACGAUUUAAUCAGUCACACCCACAUAAUGAAGCCUCUAUAAAGCCCGAAAGGAUGCGAUUCAGAGAGCUUCCAGGCUGAACACUGUGGAGAUGGGGGAGUGGCGAGGGAACUCUGUGCCCUUUCCGCAUACCCUGCCCUACGCCUCUCUGCCAUCUGCUUGUUUCUGAGUUACAUACUUUUAUAAUAAAGUGGUAAUCUAGUAAGCAAAAACAUCUCUAAGUCUAUGAGCUGCUCUAGCAAAUUAAUCAAACCCCAGAAGGACGUUAUGGGAACCUCUGAUGUAUAGGAAGUCACUCAGAAGUCAAGUUAACAACCGGGGCUUAUGACUAAUGUCUGAAGUGAGGGCACACUCCUACAUUCCUAUGGAAUCUGAUGCUAUCUCUGGGUAAACUGUUUCAGAAUGGAGUUGAAUUUGUGGACACCUUGAUGGAAUCUGAGAACUGCUUGUUGGAGCUGAGGGGCACCCCCCAUGCCCAUGCACAUUGCAACUGGGUCUAAGAACCUAUUUAAAUAUGCAAAUAAAAUGACCACAAAUACCACAGGAAUUCAGAGAAAGGAAAAAUGACUAGUUUAUGGAAGACAGGAUAGAAUGUGAAAAAAUUGUGUUUAUCAAGUUGACAUCUUGCUAGAUUUUCUCUACCAAGUUCUUAAUAAUAUUAGUGAACAAAGAUAUUAUCAGCUGUUAUCCUAGUCAAAUGGCCCCUCUAUUCUGGAUGUUAUCUCUUCCUAUUUAAAUGUUCUUCCAUAAUUCCUUCUGCUCAGAAUCUUCAAAUAUACCUCUCUUUUCUGCUUCUUUUCCUUGAGUCUCUCUCAUCUCAAAAACAGACAAAAAAACUGGCUCUAUUUUCCCCUCACUUAUCUCCUACUUUGGAGAUGUCUCAUCUGAACAAAUCACAUUUACUUCCUUACCUCUCUUUUAUUUAUAAACCGAAAACAAGCUCUUAACUCAACAUCUUCAAAGAGUGUAAUCUAAACCAAGUCAGCAAUGGCUUGCUAAGUGCCCAAAGGUUUAGUGGCUGUUCAGUAAAACUGAUCACCCUUCCUGAAAAAGCUUUCACGAAACCAUUACUUGUUGGUUUCCCUCAGAACUUGGCUCCUCUUCAGUCUCCUCUGUGGUCUUUAUUUGCAGCUACUAUUUAAGUGUGACCCUCCCCCAAACUGGAACCACAUUCCCCUUUACCACUCAGUUCAUCUUUGUCAGAUUGUCCCAGGCGAUGUUUGGGAACUUUAUUACGCCCCUAAGAUGGUUACAAAUGUAUCCAAUAUGUGCAGGUGAUUUAUAGAGAUGAAAUACAGGCCAAAAUAGGUCAUGCAUACUCAUUCAUUCAUUCAAUCAUAUCAUCGCCCCCCCCAUGUGUGUGCACGCGCGCGCACACACACACACACACACA